AGUGAACGCUGGCGGUAGGCCUAACACAUGCAAGUCGAACGGCAGCACAGUAAGAGCUUGCUCUUACGGGUGGCGAGUGGCGGACGGGUGAGGAAUACAUCGGAAUCUACUUUUUCGUGGGGGAUAACGUAGGGAAACUUACGCUAAUACCGCAUACGACCUACGGGUGAAAGCAGGGGAUCUUCGGACCUUGCGCGAUUGAAUGAGCCGAUGUCGGAUUAGCUAGUUGGCGGGGUAAAGGCCCACCAAGGCGACGAUCCGUAGCUGGUCUGAGAGGAUGAUCAGCCACACUGGAACUGAGAUACGGUCCAGACUCCUACGGGAGGCAGCAGUGGGGAAUAUUGGACAAUGGGCGCAAGCCUGAUCCAGCUAUACCGCGUGGGUGAAGAAGGCCUUCGGGUUGUAAAGCCCUUUUGUUGGGAAAGAAAAGCAGCAGGUUAAUACCCCGCUGUUCUGACGGUACCCAAAGAAUAAGCACCGGCUAACUUCGUG
rnacentral:rRNA from 1 species